rnacentral:misc_RNA from 1 species
AACGCAAAUUGCGCUCGAGGCUUCGGCCAAGAGCAUGUCUGCCUCAGCGUCGGGUUAAUACUCACAUCUGCACUCCAUCCAGAGUGCACAUGUGGAUCUGGCUGUCUCGGUUUAUUUUAAUUAAUUAACCGGGUCAGCUGAAGUGUGCAGAUGUCAAACCAUGGACCGUUACAACGGGCCUCUACUGGGUAGGCAACUCGCUUGCUGAAAUGCUUAGUAGAUGGCUUGGGUGCUGUGUUUGGCACAAAGCAGGAGUACUUGCUCGUACAAGUACGACACCCCUAUUUUCUCGACCUGAGCUCAGGCAAGAUUACCCGCUGAACUUAA